GUUCCAGACUCCUACGGGAGGCAGCAGUGGGGAAUAUUGCACAAUGGGGGAAACCCUGAUGCAGCGACGCCGCGUGAGUGAGGAAGUAUUUCGGUAUGUAAAGCUCUAUCAGCAGGGAAGAAAAUGACGGUACCUGACUAAGAAGCCCCGACUAACUACGUGCCAGCAGCCGCGGUAAUACGUAGGGGGCAAGCGUUAUCCGGAUUCACUGGGUGUAAAGGGAGCGUAGACGGCGACGCAAGUCUGGAGUGAAAGCCCGGGGCCCAACCCCGGGACUGCUCUGGAAACUGCGUCGCUGGAGUACGGGAGGGGCAGGCGGAAUUCCUGGUGUAGCGGUGAAAUGCGUAGAUAUCAGGAGGAACACCGGCGGCGAAGGCGGCCUGCUGGACCGUGACUGACGUUGAGGCUCGAGAGCGUGGGGAGCAAACAGGAUUAGAUACCCUCGUAAA
rnacentral:rRNA from 1 species